rnacentral:rRNA from 1 species
GGAUGCGAUUAUACCAGCACUAAAGCACCGGAUCCCAUCAGAACUCCGAAGUUAAGCGUGCUUUGGCGAGAGUAGUACUAGGAUGGUGACCUCCUGGAAAUCCUCGUGUUGCAUUCCC